rnacentral:rRNA from 1 species
AGAAGCUUGCGGCUGACUUAGACUUGUUGGUGAGCCAUUACCUCACCAAGGCGACGAUCAGUAUCUGGUUUGAGAGGACGAUCAGACACACUGGAACUGAGACACGGUCCAGACUCCUACGGGAGGCAGCAGUAGGGAAUUUUCCGCAAUGGGCGAAAGCCUGACGGAGCAAUCUCGCGUGAGGGAUGACGGCCUAUGGGUUGUAAACCUCUUUUUUCAGGGAGGAAUAACUGACGUGUACCUGAAGAAUAAGCAUCGGCUAACUCCGUGCCAGCAGCCGCGGUAAGACGGAGGAUGCAAGUGUUAUCCGGAAUCACUGGGCGUAAAGCGUCUGUAGGUGGUUUAAUAAGUCAACUGUUAAAUCUUAAAGCUUAACUUUGAAAUCGCAGUCGAAACUAUUAGACUAGAGUAUAGUAGGGGUAAAGGGAAUUUCCAGUGGAGCGGUGAAAUGCGUAGAGAUUGGAAAGAACACCGAUUGCGAAGGCACUUUACUGGGCUAUUACUAACACUCAGAGACGAAAGCUAGGGUAGCAAAUGGGAUUAGAUACCCCAGUAGUCCUAGCCGUAAACAAUGGAUACUAGAUGUUGAACAGAUCGACCUGUGCAGUAUCAAAGCUAACGCGUUAAGUAUCCCGCCUGGGAAGUAUGCUCGCAAGAGUGAAACUCAAAGGAAUUGACGCCCUUUACCCCUACUAUACUCUAGUCUAAUAGUUUCGACUGCGAUUUCAAAGUUAAGCUUUAAGAUUUAACAGUUGACUUAUUAAACCACCUACAGACGCUUUACGCCCAGUGAUUCCGGAUAACACUUGCAUCCUCCGUCUUACCGCGGCUGCUGGCACGGAGUUAGCCGAUGCUUAUUCUUCAGGUACACGUCAGUUAUUCCUCCCUGAAAAAACGAGGUUUACAACCCAUAGGCCGUCAUCCCUCACGCGAGAUUGCUCCGUCAGGCUUUCGCCCAUUGCGGAAAAUUCCCUACUGCUGCCU